UCCAUAUUUUCCUCUUUUUCUGAUUUAACCUCGUCACUCUCCUCAUUCACUCCGCAAUUUUCCAUUAAAUUUGAGUCUCCUCGUUCUCUCGCGUGCGCCGUUUCUUUGUCUCUCUUCCAAAACUGAUUGAUCUCAUUUACUGCUGCUAUAAAUCUCGAUGGAUUGCUCACUCUCUCUUUCUGUUGGUGCCAUUUCCAUUUCUACUUUUCUCUCACUACUCCAUCUACCGCUCUUUCCCUUUCCUCGCCGGAACCCUAAUUCGAUCCGCCGGAACUCAAAAAACCACCGCCGAGUAGGUGAUUGGAGAAUAGGUGAUAGAUCAAAAGAAGCUGGAUUUCUUUGCCGAACGGAGAGAGAUCCAUCCAUCAAGCAAUGGCAACCAAAGGAUGUAACAAGCUACCGACUAUUUUUUAUCUAAACAAAUCUCUUCAAGACAUCAUAGAGGAGGUCAAAAGAAGAAAUAUUUGUCUCUUUGACAUACUACCAGUUGUUAAAUCAGACUUGCUAGUUCCAUUAGUGGAGGAACUAUUAAGUUACUAUGAUCAUGAGAAAAACCUUUUCGAAAUCAACGGGCAUAAACUUGCUGUUACUUUGGAAGACAUUUUAUACAUAACUGGUUUGCCCAUUCGGGGCAAACCAAUUAUGAAAGCUUCUAAAGAAAAUGGGGCUUUCGAACGUGUUUUUGGAAUCAACAACAAAAAGCCUUGCAGUAUUAAGAGGCUGAAGGAGCUGGCAGGCAAUUCAAAUCUUGAUAUUGAUACUAGAGUGAAGGCAGCUCUACUGGUGUUAAUUGCCUGCGUUGUUAUACCUACCGGUGACACGCACACUAUAAGGGGAGAUUUUGUCAGUUAUGUUGAAAGACUUGAGGACGUUGACAACUAUGCAUGGGGAGCAGCUCUUCUCGCAUUUUUGUACAGUGGUAUUUGCAAAUGGAAGGUUGGUAGGCAAAAAAGUGUAAUCGAUGGCAACCUUUGGGUUGUAUUGGCGUUUUUUCUUAUCCGCAUUCCAGACUUGGUAGAAGCUAUUGAUCUCAAUCUAAACUUGGAUGGGCAACAAGUACCUUUGCUGCUUCCAGUAGUGGAGGCGGUAAGCACAAUUUCCCACAACCACAAACCCACUUACAUAAGCAAAGUACAGAAAAUGCUAGACACUCUUACUGAGGAGCAAAUAUGUUGGAAGCCGUACAAAUUAGAUCUUCAUCGUCCUAUACUGAGGGAUCAGGAAAUGUACAAGCUGCUUCUGGCCCCAAUUUGUUGUAUGAGUGCCGUACAUUACCAUACACCUCAUUAUGUCCACAAGCAAUUGGAAGAACUUGAGGUCGUAGAUGUGAAUAAGAUAAUGUGGAAACUACCCAAAUGCAAGAAAAGAAAAGGAAAUAGUGGACCGACUCCCCAAACGUUUUUAUCUGAUUUCGAGCUUCAACAAUGGAAUGAAGGGAGACUGGUAAUCAACUAUCUGCAGGGUCAUGAAGAUGAUGGUAUGGUUUAUCAACCCGGGAGUCAUGUAGAGAAUGUUAUGGUUGAUAAACCUGAGGCUUCUAACGCUAGGGAUGUAUAUUCCUUCAUACAUGUUGUUGAUCUAUCCGAGACAAGUAUGGUUGAUCAACCCAGGAGGAAUGUAGAGAAUGUUAUGGAUGAUCAGCCCGAUAGGCAUGUAGGUAUUGUUAUGGUUCAUCAACCCGAGACUUCUAACUCUAGGGAUGUAGAUUCUGAAGUACAUGUUGAUGAUCAACCCGAGAAAUCUAUUCACGCAGAUGACCAUGAGCUUAAGAGGAUGAAGCAUGUUGGCUCUGCUUCUGUUGAUGAAAAGGAAGAUUUUGAAGUCCAAAUAGUUGAGGAAGCAGGCAUUUCUUUUCCUGAUGGGUUUUCUAAACUGGAAAUUAAUCCUUGUCCUGUUGCUGGAAAUGAAAAUACAAAAAUAUCCGACUAUACUAGACAGUUAUUAUGGGAGACACACAACAGCUGUCUGCAUGAUCUGGAUACUAGUGCUACUGAAAGUAUUGAUGAACCUCAAAAAAUUCAAAGUGGUAUGGUUGAUCACGAGUGUACAAAAGAAGCUAGUGUGGUUGCUGUCCUAUGUGAAUCAAUAGAGAAACAGGGUGAUGAGGUUACUGUUUCUUCUAUUAAGGAUGAUAAGGAGGCAAUACAAGAGCAUCAUGACAAGCCAUACUCGAAAUUAUCAGAACCUCCUAGAAAUGGAAGCAAAGGUAAGACUCCCGCAAAACGGUCAGAAAAAGGGGAUAGAUCAACCAGUGUACCUCUGAGCCCAUCAUCUGGUUUCCAGCUGUUGCAAUCCAACGAGGCACAUCAGUAUAGGAAUAUUGAUUCCAUCAGUACAAAGCCAUUUUCAGAUUUGAAUGCCUCUGCUUCUCAGUCUGUUAUGUUUCAACAGCCUUUUAUGGAUGUUCAGCAAGUACAGCUGCGUGCACAGAUCUUUGUCUAUGGAGCUUUGAUUCAAGGCAUAGUACCCGAGGAGGCUUAUAUGUUAUUGGCUUUUGGCGGUUCAGAUGGUGGACGGAACUUUUGGGAGAAAGCCUGGUCUUCCUACUUGGAAAGGCAGCAGAGUCACAAGUCUAAUUUAAUUAAUCCAGAAACACCACUGCAAUUACUAUCAGGUACUAGAACCCCUGAUUUGGCAGUUAAGCAAAGUGAACUGCACGGAACAGGUAUUUCUUCCCCUCUUGGCCUAGCAAGUAGCAAGGGCACUCCAACCAUUGUAAACCCUUUCAUUCACCUGUCAUCUCCCCUUUGGAAUCUACCGUCUCCCUCACAGGCAUUUGUUUCAUUGCAUCCUAAUCAAACUCCACCACUGAGAAACUUCCUUGGGUAUAAUACAUCUAUGAUAUCCCAAUCCCCCCUUUUUGGACCACAAAUUGCUUCUGCUAGUCCUCCACCUGAUAACAGUUCCAAUCUCUCUGCUUCUCCUCUGACUCUUGCUGAUCGCCUCAAAAGUGGCUGGAAUGUUGAGAAGAGGAUUAUGUCAGACGAGUCUCUUACAAAAAUUGAGGAGGCAAAAGUAAAUGCAAAGGAAGCUUCUGCUUCUGCACUGCAAGCAAAACUGAUGUCUGAUGAAGCAUUGAUCUUUUCUGGUCAUGAGAGUUCUUGCGGAACCUAUUUUACGAAGGGUACGAGUAACUUGAGAAAAACAACCCCUGCUUCCAUCUUAAAGGGUGCAAGUGAAAUCAAUAAAAUGUUCAAUAUUGAUAAGAACAUCAAGAAUGAAAAGAACCCAGAUGCACACAGAUUGGCAAGGUCUGGUCUUCGUAAAGAAGUUCCAAAACAUUAUGUUGCAAGGGGGACAAGUAGGAUUAAUGAUGGAAAUGAUUCAGAUAAGACUGCAGUUUCUUUGAUACCACAUGCUUCAGGAUCACGGGGAUGGAAAAAUAGUUCAAUAAAGGACACCAAAGAAAAAUUCGGAGCUGACUGCAAGCCCACUUCUAAGUCUGGAAAGCCACAGGUUUUGAGUAGAGUGAUCCCAUCAAAACAAAAACCGUUGUCAAAGUCUCGUAACCAUGAUUUGACAUGUCGUACAGAAAGGACAAGGGACUCUUCAAGGCAUGUCAAUAAUGCAACUCAGCGUGAAAAUCAGAUGGAGAGGGCAUCCUAUUCUGAAUCUUCAGGAGCAAGAAAAACCUCAAAUUCCUCACGUGCAUCUUCAACUGAUUCUCAUCCCACCAAGAAGCCAUUAGGGUCAAGAGUAAGUAAAGGAAAACUAGCACAUGCUGAUGGAAGGUGGGGGUAAACUUGAAGUGGCAAAGGACUUCAAAGGAAAUCCUGUUAAAUCAACCUCUGAAGUAGUUCUUGAUCCUCGUAGAUCAAAUCGCAAGAUCCAGCCAACAUCAAGACUAUAGAAAGGAAUCCAGAGCUCAUUAAUUAUCACAAGACUCCUUCGGGUCCACACGAAAAAGGUUAUAAAAACUAUAACCGGAAUACUCCUUUGGGUAAUAACCAUGGUUUAAUGAAGGCCGCAGUUGGUUGUCUCACAUAAUUUGCAUAAAUUUGUAUAUUAUAUAUAAUAGGGGACAUAGCUAAGGGAAUUCUUGCUAUAUAUAAAUUUGUAGGCUGGCUGGCUGUACAUGGAAUUUAUCCAUGUUGACUUAUUUAUAGAAGUUUGCUGAUAUAUAUCAAAUGGUAACAUAGUACUUCCUUGGGUAUUAUAGUACACAACUGUUUUUGCUCCCAUUUUCUCCUUUGCCUAUUGUCUGUGCUAUAAAUAUAGGUUGGCAAAAUCUGGGAUAACAAUUGCUGUGGCAAUCAUCAGCACUGUAAAAAAAGACUU